rfam:Diplodia corticola strain CBS 112549 scaffold56, whole genome shotgun sequence.
CGUUUCCAAGGAUGAGAUAUUUUUAUCAUUCAGUUAUCCCUGUCUGAAGACUACUGUUGAGAACAUUCACACUCUGAGAAAAAA